AUGAACGCUGGCGGCGUGCCUAAUACAUGCAAGUCGAGCGAACGGACGAGAAGCUUGCUUCUCUGAUGUUAGCGGCGGACGGGUGAGUAACACGUGGAUAACCUACCCAUAAGACUGGGAUAACUUCGGGAAACCGUAGCUAAUACCGGAUAAUAUUUUGAACCGCAUGGUUCAAAAGUGAAAGACGGUCUUGCUGUCACUUAUAGAUGGAUCCGCGCUGCAUUAGCUAGUUGGUAAGGUAACGGCUUACCAAGGCAACGAUGCAUAGCCGACCUGAGAGGGUGAUCGGCCACGCUGGAACUGAGACACGGUCCAGACUCCUACGGGAGGCAGCAGUAGGGAAUCUUCCGCAAUGGGCGAAAGCCUGACGGAGCAACGCCGCGUGAGUGAUGAAGGUCUUCGGAUCGUAAAACUCUGUUAUUAGGGAAGAACAUAUGUGUAAGUAACUGUGCACAUCUUGACGGUACCUAAUCAGAAAGCCACGGCUAACUACGUG
rnacentral:rRNA from 1 species